rnacentral:ncRNA from 2 species
AAUGAGAACGUAAUCGCUAUCGGUAUAAUUGCUGGAGAAUGGCCAGCGAGUUCCUACCCGUUUCCCAAGAGACGGACUACCGAUAGUGUUUUGAGAUUU